AGUCGAACGAUGAACCACUUCGGUGGGGAUUAGUGGCGAACGGGUGAGUAACACGUGGGCAAUCUGCCCUGCACUCUGGGACAAGCCCUGGAAACGGGGUCUAAUACCGGAUACUGAGCCUCGCAGGCAUCUGCGGGGUUCGAAAGCUCCGGCGGUGCAGGAUGAGCCCGCGGCCUAUCAGCUUGUUGGUGAGGUAACGGCUCACCAAGGCGACGACGGGUAGCCGGCCUGAGAGGGCGACCGGCCACACUGGGACUGAGACACGGCCCAGACUCCUACGGGAGGCAGCAGUGGGGAAUAUUGCACAAUGGGCGCAAGCCUGAUGCAGCGACGCCGCGUGAGGGAUGACGGCCUUCGGGUUGUAAACCUCUUUCAGCAGGGAAGAAGCGCAAGUGACGGUACCUGCAGAAGAAGCGCCGGCUAACUACGUGCCAGCAGCCGCGGUAAUACGUAGGGCGCGAGCGUUGUCCGGAAUUAUUGGGCGUAAAGAGCUCGUAGGCGGCUUGUCGCGUCGGUUGUGAAAGCCCGGGGCUUAACCCCGGGUCUGCAGUCGAUACGGGCAGGCUAGAGUUCGGUAGGGGAGAUCGGAAUUCCUGGUGUAGCGGUGAAAUGCGCAGAUAUCAGGAGGAACACCGGUGGCGAAGGCGGAUCUCUGGGCCGAUACUGACGCUGAGGAGCGAAAGCGUGGGGAGCGAACAGGAUUAGAUACCCUGGUAGUCCACGCCGUAAACGGUGGGCACUAGGUGUGGGCGACAUUUCCACGUCGUCCGUGCCGCAGCUAACGCAUUAAGUGCCCCGCCUGGGGAGUACGGCCGCAAGGCUAAAACUCAAAGGAAUUGACGGGGGC
rnacentral:rRNA from 1 species